rnacentral:siRNA from 1 species
UGUCAUAAUACUCUCUCGUCGC